GAUGAACGCUGGCGGCGUGCUUAACACAUGCAAGUCGAACGAAGCACUUAAGAAUGAUUCUUCGGAUGAAUUUUUUUGUGACUUAGUGGCGGACGGGUGAGUAACGCGUGGGUAACCUGCCUCACACAGGGGGAUAACAGUUGGAAACGACCGCUAAUACCGCAUAACCCGCUAGGGCCGCAUGGCCCGGACGGAAAAGAUUUAUUCGCUUUAGGAUGGACUCGCGUCCAAUUAGCUAGUUGGUGAGGUAACGGCCCACCAAGGCGACGAUUGGUAGCCGGACUGAGAGGUUGAACGGCCACAUUGGGACUGAGACACGGCCCAGACUCCUACGGGAGGCAGCAGUGGGGGAUAUUGCACAAUGGGGGGAAACCCUGAUGCAGCGACGCCGCGUGGAGGAAGAAGGUUUUCGGAUUGUAAACUCCUGUCGUUAGGGACGAUAAUGACGGUACCUAACAAGAAAGCACCGGCUAACUACGUGCCAGCAGCCGCGGU
rnacentral:rRNA from 1 species